rnacentral:pre_miRNA from 1 species
GAUUUCAAAUGGAAAUAUGGUCAACAACAAAGUUGAUCCUCUCAUCAAGAUCUACAACUUUUAUUUUGGUCACUUCUUCAUCCGACAAAGUGAUAAUACCAAUGUUUACAAAAUUGACAUAUAUGUGUUGAUGUUUAUAAACUGGAUGAGAGAAAUGUGAUUUUUGUGAAUAAAUAACUAUCACUUUGUCGGAUGAAGAAGUGACCAAAAUAAAAGUUGUAGAUCCUGAUGAGAGGAUCAACUUUGUUUUUGACCAUAUUUCCAUUUGAAAUC